rnacentral:rRNA from 1 species
CGGGUAACCUGCCCAAGAGAUCGGGAUAACACCUGGAAACAGAUGCUAAUACCGGAUAACAACAGAUGAUGCCUAUCAACUGUUUAAAAGAUGGUUCUGCUAUCACUCUUGGAUGGACCUGCGGUGCAUUAGCUAGUUGGUAGGGUAACGGCCUACCAAGGCGAUGAUGCAUAGCCGAGUUGAGAGACUGAUCGGCCACAUUGGGACUGAGACACGGCCCAAACUCCUACGGGAGGCAGCAGCU